rnacentral:rRNA from 1 species
UACGUAGGGGGCUAGCGUUGUCCGGAUUUAUUGGGCGUAAAGAGCGUGUAGGCGGCCAGAUAGGUCUGCUGUGAAAACUCGAGGCUCAACCUCGAGAUGUCGGCGGAAACCAUUUGGCUAGAGUCCGGAAGAGGAAAGUGGAAUUCCUGGUGUAGCGGUGAAAUGCGCAGAUAUCAGGAAGAACACCCGUGGCGAAGGCAGCUCGCUGGGACGUGACUGACGCUGAGACGCGAAAGCGUGGGGAGCAAACAGG